rnacentral:tRNA from 1 species
GGUCGUUAGCUCAGUUGGUAGAGCAGUUGACUUUUAAUCAAUUGGUCGCAGGUUCGAAUCCUGCACGACCCAC